AUGCUGAAGCAGGCCACUGAGCUUCAGCUCCCGAGCUAUGUUGAAGGUCUGGACUAUGGUAGUGGCAUGAACUCAGCAUAUUCACCCAUCUCUGAGACACCGUACCAUGAUGAAGGAAUGAUAUCGCCAGUGCUGAGUCCAAAUUUUCGGGCUUCUCAAUUCUCACCAUAUGUUGGGGGCAUGGCAAUUUCUCCGGUCCAAUCAAACUACAGCCAAUCCUAUACUUCUGGCUCUCCUUCCUACAGUCCGACCAGUCUAUCAUACUCGCCAACAUCGCCGAUCUAUAGUCCCACAUCACUGACCUAUACUCCAGCAUCACCAGUUUAUAGCCCAACAUCGACAGUUUAUGGUCCAACAUAUCUUGCAUAUAGCCCAACAUCGCCAGUUUAUAGCCGGACAUCUCUUGCAUACAGCCCAACGUCACCAUCUUAUAGUCCAACAUCUUCACUCUGUAGUCCGACCUCUCCAUCAUACAGAUGGACGUUGCCAUCUUAUAGCCCAACAUCACCAUCAUACAGUCCUACAUUGCCCUCAUCAUACAGCCCUACGUUGCCUGGUUACAGCCGGACGUCACCGAGCUACAGCCCUACUUCACCGAGCUACAGCCCUACGUCACCAAGCUAUAGCCCUACUUCACCGAGCUACAGCCAGACGUCACCGAGCUACAGCCCUACGUCACCAAGCUACAGCCGGACGUCACCAAGCUAUAGCUGGACGUCACCGAGCUACAGCCCGACGUCACCGAGCUACAGCCCUACGUCGCCCUCGUGCAGUCCUUCACAUGCUUAUUCUCGAAGCAGGGCAAGGAUGAUGAGCCCGUACAGUCAGGCUCCUCCAAACUACAGCCCGCACACUACCGCUGGAGGAGCUAGACUAGAUUACAGCCCAGCUUCCCCCAACUACAGGCCCAGCGCAAGCUACUCCCCCAUUGUACCGGGCUACUCUCCGUCAUCCACCAGGCCACAAACUACUGACAUGGAUGACGAGACUGCUCGUUGA
rnacentral:rRNA from 1 species